UACGUAGGGUGCAAGCGUUGUCAGGAAUUAUUGGGCGUAAAGAGCUCGUAGGCGGUCUGUCGCGUCGAAUGUGAAAACCCGGGGCUCAACUCCGGGCUUGCAUUCGAUACGGGCAGACUAGAGUUCGGUAGGGGAGACUGGAAUUCCUGGUGUAGCGGUGAAAUGCGCAGAUAUCAGGAGGAACACCGGUGGCGAAGGCGGGUCUCUGGGCCGAUACUGACGCUGAGGAGCGAAAGCGUGGGGAGCAAACAGG
rnacentral:rRNA from 1 species